rnacentral:rRNA from 1 species
ACAUAACUGAUGCCUCCGCGUAUCGACUUUGUUGCGCAUUUUAGCUAUUAUGUGUUCUUUUAAUUAAAAUGAUUCUUUUUAAGAUUCAUCUAUUAAAAAUUUGCUUCGGCAUAAUUUUUUUUGAUGAUCUUGUUACUUUGAGUAAAUUAGAGUGUUCAAAGCAAACAGAUAUAGCAUUUGUGCGUUUGAAUACUACAGCAUGGAAUAACAAAAUUGAACAAGUCAGAAUUUUUUUGUUCUUUUUUCUUAUUUUGGCUUAGUUACGAUUAAUAGGAGUAGCUUGGGGGCAUUUGUAUUCAGAUGUCAGAGGUGAAAUUCUUAGAUUUUCUGGAGACAAACAACUGCGAAAGCAUUUGCCUAAAAUACUUCCAUUAAUCAAGAACGAAAGUUAAGGGAGUGAAGACGAUCAGAUACCGUCGUAAUCUUAACCAUAAACUAUGCCGACUAGGCUUUGGAUGAAAGAUUUUAAAAUAAGAGUUUUUCUUUUCUCUCCGGAGAUUAGAACUCUUAGAUUGCUUCCUUCAGUGCCUUAUGAGAAAUCAAAGUCUUUGGGUUCUGGGGCGAGUAUUCGCGCAAGCGAGAAAGUUAAAAGAAUUGACGGAAGGGCACCACCAGGCGUGGAGCUUGCGGCUUAAUUUGACUCAACACGGGAAAACUCACUAGUUUAAGACAAGAGUAGGAUUGACAGAUUAAUAGCUCUUUCUUGAUUUCUUGGAUGGUGAUGCAUGGCCGUCUUUAGUUCGUGAAUAUGAUUUGUCUGGUUAAUUCCGAUAACGAACGAGAUCUUAACCUGCUAAUUAGCGGCAAAUACGAUAUAUUCUUAUGUAGAAUUGAAUAUAGUGGAUUUGUUAGAUUUUGAAGAAAAUAUUGGAAUUACGUUAAAUGUGAUUCCUUUCCCUUUUCUACUUAAUUUACAUUUCCAUCUAUUUCUUUUUUGCGUAUGAAUGUAUUUGCUUGAUUGUAAAGCUUCUUAGAGGAACGAUGUGUG